rnacentral:rRNA from 1 species
CUUUCCUUGAUGACGACUGGCGCACGGGUGAGUAACGCGUAUCCAACCUUCCCAUAACUACGGGAUAACCCGUUGAAAGACGGCCUAAUACCGGAUGAUAUCGUUUGCUGACAUCAAAUAACGAUUAAAGGUUUAGCGGUUAUGGAUGGGGAUGCGUCUGAUUAGCUUGUUGGCGGGGUAACGGCCCACCAAGGCGACGAUCAGUAGGGGUUCUGGGAGGAAGGUCCCCCACAUUGGAACUGAGACACGGUCCAA